UUCUGAUCCAGGCACUGAGCAGCCAGCCGGUUAAGAGGUUCUGAUCCAGCCACUGAGCAGGCAGCCGGUUAAGAGGUUCUGAUCCAGGCACUGAGCAGCUAGCCAGAGAGAGGGAGCAGAAAGAUAUUUGAAGAAACAUGGGCAAAAAUUUCCCCAAAUUGAUGAACUCCGUGAACCCACAUAUCCAAGAGUCUCAAUCCCAGUGGCAGUGGCUGAAGACAACAAAGAGACAGAGUCUCACUUUAUAGCCCUCGGUAGAGUGCCGUGGCGUCACACAGCUCACAGCAACCUCCAACUCCUGGGCUUAAGCGAUUCUCUUGCCUCAGCCUCCUGAGUAGCUGGGACUACAGGCGCCCGCCACAACACCCGGCUAUUUUUUGGUUGCAGUUUUGGCUGGGGUCGGGUUUGAACCCGCCACCCCUGGUAUAUGGGGCCAGGGCCCUACCGACUGAGCCACAGGCGCCACCCACAACAAUUGUUCUUAAAUAGAACACCUUAUAAAA